rnacentral:snRNA from 1 species
AUCGCUUCUUGGCCUUUUGGCUAAGAUCAGGUGUAGUAUCAGUUCUUAUCAGUUUAAUAUCUCCUUGAUGAGAGGACUUAUUUUUAGGUCAUGCAGAGAGCAU